CUAACGUUUCUGCCAUCUCGUUGCCUUAACCACAAAAUAUUGACGACGACGAUGAUGAUGAUGAUGAUGGUGGUGGUGGUGGUGAUGAUGAUGACGAUGAUGAUGACGUUGAUGAUGACGAUGAUGAUGACGACGAUGACGAUGACGAUGAUGAUGACGAUGAUGAUGAUGAUGAUGUUGUAACUGAGGAGAGUGAAAGACUGUGCGCUGACAAGCUUGCUUUGCCUAUGAAAGACAGGUUACGUGGCAUUGUAGUUGCUUGUUAUCUAGCUCAUCAAGGUGCUAACUUUUACUACAAGAACAAAAAGAACCAGAUGCCGCUGGACAUUAUUAAGAGUCCAGCUUUAAAAAUGAUAAUAAAGACCCUUUUUCAACCACAAUGUUUACUUUGCGAAGAAAAUGCACCCUCUGUUACGUUCCACCCAUGCCAACAUACUGUGAUAUGUAAACCAUGUUCCCAGAUUAAACUGAAACGAUGUCUUGAUUGCCAACAAAUUAUAACUUACAAAGAAGGAUUUGGUUCACCAAACAUUGCAAUGAAGACUGAGAAGAUGUCAAGCCCAUAGCCAAGUAGGGAGUUAGAAAUUCAACCAGCACUGCAAUUUCCACAUCAGACCAAGUGAAUUUGUGUGUAAAUGUUGCUGUUGUGCCCUAGAUCAAGCUGGACCACACUGAGACCUACGAUCACAUUCCUUACAGCCAGGACCACCCUGUCUUUAUUGUAAGAGAACCGAGAACCAUAUUACUUACUGUGUCCUUUCAGGUGAUAAAUGAGGAGGAUUCAGCUGCUAAUUCUAGCAGAUCUUAGCUAUCAUAUAGAGAUCCCUUUAUUGGUGUGGUUCCCUUGCUGUAAGAGAUUAGUCUGAAAUAAAAAUAAAUUUUGUAAGGUUCA
rnacentral:lncRNA from 1 species